AUUUUGUCCUCUUUGUUACUUACAGCAUGACUGAAACAACAUCAAGUGAAACUGUGAAGCCUCCCCGGUAAAGUCUAUUCAGGAUUGUUCGAGAGGAGUGUCCAUCGGGAAGUCGAAUCUCGGAUUCAGAAGGAGCAGUGUGGUUUUUGUCCCGGCCGUGGACCAGAGGCCCAGCUCUACACCCUCGGCAGGGUCCUUGAGGGUGAUUGGGAGUUUGCCCAAACAGUCUAUAUGUGUUUUGUGGAUUUGGAGAUGGUCUUCGACUGUGGGGGUACCGAGUCCCUUGAAUUUCUAGGCGCAGCCGAAGCGUUAAGGGGGUCCGGUUUGGUGGCCUCAGGAUUGCAUCUCGGCUUUUUGCAAAUGAUGUGGUGCUGUUGGCUUUAACAAUCCGUGACAUCCAACUCUCACUGGAGCUGUUCGCAGCAGAGUGUGAAGCAGUUGGGAUGAAGAUCAGCAAUACAACUUGAACAAAUCACUUUGAUUGACAGAGUUCAUUCUUUUCUUUUUUAUGCUUUGACCGGUUUUAAGGAGAUGUGUUUUUGCAGUGUAUUUAACACCUUCUAUGAGAAUCUUAGGCAUUUUAAAGGGUAUUAAAACAACUGGGGAAAUGCUAAUAUUCCAUCAUUUGUCCAUAAACGCAUGCCUUUUGGAUUCAUAUCAUGCCACUUCGUAACACCAAGAAAAUAAUAGAAAUUUGCAUCGAUUGUCAAGCUAAAACAACCUGUGCCCGAGAUCCCGGAAAUUUAGCAUAUUGUGUGCGUGACGUCACAACUAGGAAACACCCAGCUCAGUGCUUGGGUCCUGACAAAGUACUGAAUGGCGGUGAUGAUAGCGGACAAUUUUGUUUCUAGUUGCAGCAACGAAUCCGACGUAACGAACGUUCUUCUAAUGGUGACGAGGAGAGUUAUUAACCUUUCUUUGGUGUUUUGGGUUAUCAAUUUGAGCCCAAACAAAAGCAAAUGCAGCCUAAUGAAACGAUCAGAGGGGAGCAAUCACACUGAUGAAACACCAGCAACAGAUCGUGUGGGCAACCCCGAUUGGUUUGUUUUGCAUUUCUUUUUGUGAAGCUGAUACACUGUGACCGCAAAAUAAAGUAAUGUAUAGAAUAAUUAUCAUUUAUUGUGCUAUCAUAGGUAGAGAUGUCCCGAUCGAUCGGGAUGGAGCGGGUCCGAUCACGUCAUUUUCAAAGUAUCGGAAUUGGCAAAAAAAUAUUAAUACAUAUAUAUAUUUUUAAAUUAAAUCGUUUUCAAAUUGUAUUUAACGUUACAGACAUAAUAUGUUUCACUCAUCCAGUCUUUAGUUUACGCUUAAGGUAGGGUUAUAAAGUUUAUCCCAAUAACAGCGGUAAUAAAUUUUUUAAAAAAUGCAUCACGUUAAAAUAUUUAAUGCAGUUAAUGCAUGCGCUGCACAACCCACUCACGCAAUGUCGCGCUCAAUCUGUAAUGGCGCCGUUUUACCAAUAUAGAGAGCUAAAAGGCAGCGUAAUAUGAGUAGAAUGGAUUUUAGCUGCCUUUGGGGCCUUUUUUUUAAUUGGCUAAAGCCUUACAAUCCCUCUCCCUACAAUUAGUAGUAUCGUGAGAGGCAAGGUGAAGCAAGGCAGUAAGUGAUCUUUUUCUUAAUACCCUAUGUUAUUUCCCAACGCAGAGAAUAUAUAUUAUUUGGUAGCACUACGCACAGUCAUGGGUGCACUUCCCAUCAUGCAUUUGGGCACAACAGUUAAAUGGCUACAGUAUAAUUUACUGAAAGCUCAACAAAUACACCAGGUGGCAAUAUUUAGUCACAUUUGUCCUUUAAGAAUUACAAGUCUUUCUAUCUGUGGAUCCCUCUCACAGAAAGAAUGUUAAUAAUAAUGUAUUUGCCAUCUUGAGGAUUUAUUGUCAUAAUAAACAAAUACAGUACUUAUGUACUGUAUGUUGAAUGUAUAUAUAUUCGUCCGAGUUUUAUUCAUUUUUUUUUCUUAAUGCAUUGCCAAAAUGUAUGUGAUCAGGAAAAAUUAUCGGGAAUGAUUGGAAUUGAAUCGGGAGCAAAAAAAAGCAAUCGGAUCGGGAAAUAUCGGGAUCGGCAGAUACUCAAACUAAAACGAUCGGGAUCGGAUCGGGAGCGAAAAAACAUGAUCAGAACAACCCUAAUCAUAGGUUUUCGCGCUGCCAACAGAGACAAAUAUGAAUGGGAUUAAAGGAUUUGUUGUAUAGA